rnacentral:rRNA from 1 species
AUUGAACGCUGGCGGCAGGCUUAACACAUGCAAGUCGAGCGGAGAUGAGGUGCUUGCACCUUAUCUUAGCGGCGGACGGGUGAGUAAUGCUUAGGAAUCUGCCUAUUAGUGGGGGACAACAUUCCGAAAGGAAUGCUAAUACCGCAUACGUCCUACGGGAGAAAGCAGGGGAUCUUCGGACCUUGCGCUAAUAGAUGAGCCUAAGUCGGAUUAGCUAGUUGGUGGGGUAAAGGCCUACCAAGGCGACGAUCUGUAGCGGGUCUGAGAGGAUGAUCAGCCACACUGGGACUGAGACACGGCCCAGACUCCUACGGGAGGCAGCAGUGGGGAAUAUUGGACAAUGGGGGGAACCCUGAUCCAGCCAUGCCGCGUGUGUGAAGAAGGCCUUUUGGUUGUAAAGCACUUUAAGCGAGGAGGAGGCUCCUGUAGAUAAUACCUACAGUGAGUGGACGUUACUCGCAGAAUAAGCACCGGCUAACUCUGUGCCAGCAGCCGCCGCUGUAA